AUUGAACGCUGGCGGCAUGCCUUACACAUGCAAGUCGAACGGCAGCGGACCUUCGGGUGCCGGCGAGUGGCGAACGGGUGAGUAAAGUAUCGGAACGUACCUUUCAGUGGGGGAUAACGUAGCGAAAGUUACGCUAAUACCGCAUAUUCUGUGAGCAGGAAAGCAGGGGAUCGCAAGACCUUGCGCUGAUUGAGCGGCCGAUAUCAGAUUAGCUAGUUGGUGAGGUAAAGGCUCACCAAGGCGACGAUCUGUAGCGGGUCUGAGAGGAUGAUCCGCCACACUGGAACUGAGACACGGUCCAGACUCCUACGGGAGGCAGCAGUGGGGAAUUUUGGACAAUGGGGGCAACCCUGAUCCAGCCAUGCCGCGUGAGUGAAGAAGGCCUUCGGGUUGUAAAGCUCUUUCGGCCGGGAAGAAAACGCUUAGGUUAAUACCCUGAGUGGAUGACGGUACCGGAAUAAGAAGCACCGGCUAACUACGUGCCAGCCGCCGCAGUAACAC
rnacentral:rRNA from 1 species